rnacentral:rRNA from 1 species
AUUGAACGCUGGCGGCAUGCCUUACACAUGCAAGUCGAACGGUAACAGGGAGCUUGCUCCGCUGACGAGUGGCGAACGGGUGAGUAAUGUAUCGGAACGUACCUUUUAGUGGGGGAUAACGUAGCGAAAGUUACGCUAAUACCGCAUAUUCUCUGAGGAGGAAAGCAGGGGAGCUUCGGGCCUUGCGCUAAUAGAGCGGCUGAUAUCAGAUUAGCUAGUUGGUGAGGUAAAGGCUCACAAAGGCGACGAUCUGUAGCGGGUCUGAGAGGAUGGUCCGCCACACUGGAACUGAGACACGGUCCAGACUCCUACGGGAGGCAGCAGUGGGGAAUUUUGGACAAUGGGGGCAACCCUGAUCCAGCCAUGCCGCGUGAGUGAAGAAGGCCUUCGGGUUGUAAAGCUCUUUCGGCCGGGAAAAAAUCGCAUGGGUUAAUACCCUGUGUGGAUGAUGGUACCGGAAUAAGAAGCACCGGCUAACUACGUGCCAGCCGCCGCGGUAAUAC